AGACUCCGCGGAGAACGCGAGCAUGGUCGGAAAUCAUCGCCUUUAUUUCUUGGCGGGUCUCGAGGGAAGGUCGGGAACGGGCGGGUCCUGCUGGCCUAGAGGGCGUCAGGGGCAGCCACCGGCGGCUCGGGAUCCUCCUCGUCGCGAGCGCGGGGGAGCUCAGGUCCGGCCUGCCGGGGGCUGGGUGAGGCUGCGGACCAGGUUCCUACGCUCCUCGCGUCCGCCCGCGUCUGCCCUAGGCCUCCACCGCGGCUUCCUCUGUCCCCGGGGCCGCCCUGCUCCCCACAGACCCCACUCUCGGGGGCCGCUCCCAGGACCCCCGCCCGCUCUCUCCUGACUCGGUCCCUGCCCGCCCCGCCUCCCUUCCUCGGGCUCCCUACCUCUCCCUCGCCGGCCCCGACCUCGGGGGCGCUCCGGACCUGCUCCCCGAAUAUCUCCAGCUCCGCCUUCAGCCUGCGGAGAAGGGGCCGAGGAGACAGGAGGAAGAGAGCGAGAGUCCAGGGGACGAGGAGGAAGCCACCGAGACGCGGAGACCCGACGACGCCGAGGGAGGCACAGGCCGGGGAAGCGGCAGUCGGGGGCGGAGCGGGGGACCUGGGCGGGUUCCCCUCCGCCCUGCCCCUGCCCUCCUCGCCCACUCCUCCCUUCCCCUCUCACCCGUCAUUCACCGCCAUGGCGCCCUCGACCUCAGGCGGCGAGUGCAGCCGCCGCUCCACCUCCCGCAGCUUGGCGCGCACCAGCCUCCCUGUCGGUGGGCGGGCGUCAGGGGCAGGGCCGAGGCCCGGGCACAUCCCCCUCCCCCCGCCCACCUGGCGCGGGAGGCUCACUCUCCGAGAGCAGCUGCUCCUUGCUUCUCUCCAGGGCACGGAUCUCCCGGGCCAGUCGCUGCUCCAGCAUCUGCGAGGACAAAGAGGAGGCCUCCCCGUUUGGCCGUCCUCUUGGCUACACGGCCCGCCCCUCCCCUUUUGUGCUUCUCGCGAAGUCUUCACCUACAUUAGGUCAUUCAUUCAUUCAACUAUUUAUUAACUCAAUGUGCAGUUCCUGCUGUGGCUGGAGACCCACCCACCUCCCCCUAAACGCUCUCCAUGUCUCCAGGCACCUCUCAAACUUGAACUCUUCCCACUCUCCUCAUCCUCCAUUCCCCAAUCUGCGGCUCCUCAACGGUUUCAGGCACCGUCCAGCCCCAGGGCCUUCCUUCUGCACCGAUACCUGCACGGCUUCUUCCCUCACUUCCUUCACCUCUGCGUUGAGAUGUCACUUGCUUAGAGGCCUUCCCACUGAAGUUCCACGAUCUAGCCACUAACUUUCUUGGUGCCUCCACCGUCCCCAACCAGCUUGGGACAGCAAAGACGUGGACUCUUUGAUCUGCUACCCUCCCUCCCUGCCUCAAAUGCUGACCGGUGCAACCACUGACAUUAGCUAAAUGAAGGAAUGACCUGACCAUGGCUUUCCCUGGGCUGCCAUUUGCCACUGCAAGGCUUCCCUCUGAAGAAAGAAAGGAAGAAAGAGUGAGCCAGAGAAGACUGGUGUCUGGCUGUCCAAGGCAGACGGAGAAGCACUGUGUCUGCUGCUAUCAAUUAACCGGCAUAUAUUGAGCGCCUGCUGUGUGUUGAGCUCUGCCAGAGCCCCUUGAAGGGCUUGCAUUCUGGGUUGGCAAGAUGGACAUUGAGCAAAGAUAAAUAAAUCAAUUCAGGUGGCAGUAACUGCUGUGAAGAGAAAUAAAGUGAGGCAAAGUGUUGAAGAGCAAAAGGGUAAAAGGCAUGUCUGGGGAUAUGCAAAGGCCCCAGAUGAGAAGAAGGAAGCAGGUCCUGCAGUUCUGUGGGGGUAAAGAGUAUGGAGGGGGGACCCAUUCCAGGCAGAGUGCAACAAGGCAGAGGGAACAAGUGCAAAUUCCCUGUAGUGUGGCAGGAGCGGGUGAGGCACGUGUCCAAAGUAACAGUGAGGGGCUGGUGUGGCUCAGGUCUAGUGAGCAAGUGGAGAGUAGCAGAAAGUAAGGUGGGGGAAGUGGGAAGUGAUAUCACUAGGGCCUCUUGGGCCACCGUGGAAGCCUUUAGAUGUAACUCUGAGUGUGGUGUGAGCCAAUG
rnacentral:lncRNA from 1 species